GACGUAGGGCGCGAGCGUUGUCCGGAUUUAUUGGGCGUAAAGAGCUCGUAGGCGGCUUGUCGCGUCGACUGUGAAAACCCGAGGCUCAACUUCGGGCUUGCAGUCGAUACGGGCAGGCUAGAGUUCGGUAGGGGAGACUGGAAUUCCUGGUGUAGCGGUGAAAUGCGCAGAUAUCAGGAGGAACACCGAUGGCGAAGGCAGGUCUCUGGGCCGAUACUGACGCUGAGGAGCGAAAGCGUGGGGAGCGAACAGG
rnacentral:rRNA from 1 species